rnacentral:lncRNA from 1 species
GCGGACAGCGCUGCUUCCGCGGCGGUUGGGGUGGUGGGGCCCCGGGCGGCGUUGACCAUGACCCAGCAGGGCGCGGCGCUGCAGAACUACAACAACGAGCUGGUCAAGUAUCCAGGAGGAGGAGGACGAGAAGCAGCGGCUGCAGAAUGAGGUGAGGCAGCUGACAGAGAAGCUGGCCCGCGUCAACGAGAACCUGGCACGCAAGAUUGCCUCUCGCAACGAGUUCGACCGGACCAUCGCGGAGACGGAGGCCGCCUACCUCAAGAUCCUGGAGAGCUCCCAGACUUUGCUCAGCGUUCUCAAGAGGGAAGCUGGGAACCUGACCAAGGCUACAGCCCCAGACCAGAAAAGUAGCGGCGGCAGGGACAGCUGACCAGACCACGGGCAGGGCCUGCCUCCGUGUGCCCCUCAGCUCAGCCCCAGCAAGUGUGUGCUCAGAGCAUCUUUGUUCUUCACGGCAGCAGCUACCUUCCCUCACUGUCUCAGGUGCCGAGAGGGGCAGGUGCCAGCCUCCACUGGCAUCAGUGACAAGCCCAGGGCACAGCCCACCCGGGGGUCCUCGCUUCAUGCUCACACAGGCUAUGGGGAUGGUGGGCUCCAGGUCAGCUCUGCAAGGGGCUUGUCUCUGUGGCACCCACACUCCUGCCCUGCCAGGGAGGCUCUGGUUGUCUGAGCACCAUGGGGGCCCCCUCACCUUGUCCCUCCUCAGCCAGCAGAGGCCCAGGGCAAGGGACAGGAGGACAGGGGUUCUCCUUCACCACAGAACCCAAACCUCAGGUCUCACCCCUGUGGCCUGUGAUUAUGAAUAAAGAUUAUCUUUGUAAAGAUC